AAUACUGCGCAAUGGAGGGAACUCUGAAGCAGCGACGCAGCGUGAGUGAAGAAGGUCUACGGACCGUAAAGCUGUGUCCUUGGGGAAGAAGGUCUUUGGACUUGACGGUACUUAAGGAGGAAGCCCAGGCUAGCUACGUGCCAGCAGACGCGGUAAUACGUAGGGGGCAAGCGUUGUCCGGAACUAUUGGGCGUAAAGGGUGCGUAGGGGGCCUUUUAAGUCAGAUGUGAAAGCCCACGGCUUAACCGUGGGACUGCAUUUGAAACUGGAGGGCUUGAGUAUCGGAGAGGGUAGUGGAAUUCCCAGUGUAGCGGUGGAAUGCGUAGAUAUUGGGAGGAACACCAGUGGCGAAGGCGACUACCUGGACGAAAACUGACGCUGAGGCACGAAAGCUAGGGGAGCAAAC
rnacentral:rRNA from 1 species